UUUGUACACCAAAAACAAUAUAUUUAGCAAAAAUAAAAAAACGAAAAUUCUAAAUUAUUUAGUUUUUAGCCAUGAUUCGAAUUUCCAGCUGUUUGCCCGUUGUGCUGAAAAAAAUGUACAAUUCAAAGAUGCGUGAAAAAAAGCGAAAAGUCAAUCCAGCCAAUUCCGUAUAUAUUUUAGAGCGAAUUUUAAAAUUCCUUAAGGAGAAUCAAAUUUAUUCGCAAAGUUUUACCAACCAGAUCUUUGAUCAUAAUUGCAUUGAAUCUAAAUAGUAUUGAAAUCCCGUUAUCAGGAACACCUGUGAUCUUUAUUGUGUUAAGAGUAUUUCGCGUUUCUUUUGGUUACUUGCAGUGUAUUUUUUGAUUUUCUUUUACUUUUACAUCUAAAUCAAACUGUAUGUAUACAUGUAAAAGCAAUGGAAAAUAUUUAAAUACAG